rnacentral:lncRNA from 1 species
GAAGCUAUUGUUAUCCAUAUCUUCUAAAAAGAACAAAGACACAACAUUUGCAUGAUUUUAUUUGUAAAACAAAGCGUGAGAAAAUAAUAUUAUAACUAACUUGAAAAUAGACUUUAUUUUACAAUAAUAAAAUUACUGACAUUAAAUUAAUAUAAAAUUAUUUUUUAACUUAAACGCCAUAAUUACAUGUACAACAAUUCGAACGACACACUCCAAUUCCACCAGGGCCACAUGAAGAAGAUGGGCAUUCAGGGUUUGAAUAGCACACGACGGUUGUAAAACAACCGUAACUUACGAGAAAUUGAAAAAAGAAGAGGAUAAUACCUACAACAAAUAAGAGAGUUUUAUACAUUUUUUCCUACUUUAUAUGUAACAAACAAAAAAUUAUUGAUCACUUUAUAAAGUAAAAAUUCCAUUAUCAAUGGCCUACAAUUAAAUAGUUUUUAGCUCUACCAGAGUAGCAAAGAAACCUUUUCUAUAACUAUAAUAAUAAAAUGACUAGUAAGUAUAUUGAAAUAUUCUUACUAUCUCUUAAACGUUCAAUUUAAUCACUUGAUCUUGGCUACUUUAAUGUGCCAUAAUUGUUUCAAUAUUUCAUUAUUUUUUAUUUCUAUGUUAACCUUUCACAAUUUACAAGGGAAAUAUAAUACCAAAGGAACAACAAAAAGCUUUGAAAGUACACAAAGUUACUUGUAAGAAUUAAUUAAUAAUAUUGUUAUCUAAAUUAAAAUUUAGAAUGACACAUGAUGCUUAUCAAACAACCAUCACUUACGAGAAAUUAGGAAAAGAAGAGGAUAAUACCUGUAACAAAUAAGAGAGUUUUAGACAUUUUUCCCUCCUUUAUAUUGUAAGAAACAAAACAUUAUUGAUAUAUUAAAAUAUUAUAUUUAUCUCUUUAACAUUCAAUUUAAUCACUUUAUCUUAAUUACUUUAAUGUGCCAUCAUUGUUUCAAUAUUUCUUUAUUUUUUAUUUCUAUGUUAACCUUUCACAAUAUACAAGGGCAACAUAAUACCAAAGGAACAACUAAAAGUUUUGAAAGUACAAAAAUUUACUUAUUAGAAUGAAUUAAUAAUAUUGUUGUCUAAAUUAAAAUUUAGAAUGACACAUGAUGCUUAUCAAACAACCGUAACUUACUAGAAAUUAGGAAAGGAAGAGGAUAAUAGCCGUAACAAAUAAGAGAGUUUUAGACAUUUUUUUCCUCUUUUAUAAGUAAGAAACAAAAAAUUAUUGAUCACUUUAUAAAGUAAAAAUUCCAUUAUCAGUAUUCUACAAUUAAAUGGUUUUUAGCUUUAACAGCAUAGCAAAGAAACCUGUCACAAAACUAUAGUCAUAAU